rnacentral:rRNA from 1 species
CAGUAGCCGCGGUAAUACGUAGGGUGCGAGCGUUAAUCGGAAUUACUGGGCGUAAAGCGUGCGCAGGCGGCUUUGCAAGACAGAUGUGAAAUCCCCGGGCUCAACCUGGGAACUGCAUUUGUGACUGCAUGGCUAGAGUACGGUAGAGGGGGAUGGAAUUCCGCGUGUAGCAGUGAAAUGCGUAGAUAUGCGGAGGAACACCGAUGGCGAAGGCAAUCCCCUGGACCUGUACUGACGCUCAUGCACGAAAGCGUGGGGAGCAAACAGGAUUAGAUACCCGUGUAGUCCCUGUCUCUUAUAC